AGUGAACGCUGGCGGUAGGCCUAACACAUGCAAGUCGAACGGCAGCACAGUAAGAGCUUGCUCUUACGGGUGGCGAGUGGCGGACGGGUGAGGAAUACAUCGGAAUCUACUUUUUCGUGGGGGAUAACGUAGGGAAACUUACGCUAAUACCGCAUACGACCUACGGGUGAAAGCAGGGGAUCUUCGGACCUUGCGCGAUUGAAUGAGCCGAUGUCGGAUUAGCUAGUUGGCGGGGUAAAGGCCCACCAAGGCGACGAUCCGUAGCUGGUCUGAGAGGAUGAUCAGCCACACUAGAACUGAGACACGGUCCAUACUCCUACGGGAGGCAGCAGUGGGGAAUAUUGGACAAUGGGCGCAAGCCUGAUCCAGCCAUACCGCGUGGGUGAAGAAGGCCUUCGGGUUGUAAAGCCCUUUUGUUGGGAAAGAAAAGCAGCAGGUUAAUACCCCGCUGUUCUGACGGUACCCAAAGAAUAAGCACCGGCUAACUUCGUG
rnacentral:rRNA from 1 species